rnacentral:rRNA from 1 species
AUUGAACGCUGGCGGCAGGCCUAACACAUGCAAGUCGAACGAGUGGCGGACGGGUGAGUAAUGUCUGGGAAACUGCCUGAUGGAGGGGGAUAACUACUGGAAACGGUAGCUAAUACCGCCUACCAUCAGCUGUGCCCAGAUGGGAUUAGCUUGUUGGUGGGGUAACGGCUCACCCAGGAGACGAUCCCUAGCUGGUCUGCGAGGAUGACCAGCAAGAGUGGAAUGGAGACAAGGUGCAGACGCCUACGGGAGGCAGCAGUGGGGAAUAUUGAAAAAUGGGCGCAAGCCGGAGGCAGACAAGACGCGUGUAUGAAGAAGGCCUUCGGGUUGUAAAGUAAUUUCAGCGAGGAGGCGUUACGCGCAGAAGAAGCACCGGCUAACGCAGUGCCAGCAGCCGCGGUAAGAC